rnacentral:lncRNA from 1 species
CUUUUUCCUCGAUUCUUCAUAAAAAUACUAGAGUGUACAAGUAGUUGACACUUCUUAUAUGAUUAAUACUAUUUCAGAGCAGCAACAAUACUAAACUUUGAUAUCCAAAUGACAAAGAUAUCUGAAGGUUUUUCAAACAAAAUCUAAUGUUUCCCCUAAAUCUUACUACAUUUACACAUUUUGUAGAAAAAGGAGGGGGAAAUAUUGAAGUUACUACACGACAAUAAUCUUAGCAUGCAGUGGCAUUGUGCCUAAACAACAAUAUUUUUUUACAAGAAACUCUUGUUAAUUUUACAAUCAUCUAACAUAACAAAACAAGAGAAUCAUGAAAAGGGGAGCCUCGGAGAGAUGGAGAUCUGAAAAACCUAGAUUUUUGGACGAGGAAAAGGAAGAGAAAUGGGAGGAGGAUGGAGGAAUACUUACAGGAGAGAACCAAGCUCGUUGAUGCAUGUGUCACUGGUGAUCGUGUAUGGAGAGGGGAAGCCGGCGACACAUAAUCUUGGCUCGAAACGAGUAUUUAGCUUGUAGGACAACUAUGCCCUAAACAAGUAAAUAUGGGGCUGAAAUGAAAAUAAAAAAUACAAUGCUUAACCUCUGCAUAUGGGCAAUGUAUUUAAAUUCAGAUAAUUGAAUUUCUUACUAAAUGUGACCAAACUGGAGCAUGGAGCAGAUACUACCCAUGGGAGAAUAAAUCAAUACAUGCUCAUGGCAUGGAAAUCAGAUCAGUCCAAGAUUAAAUUCAUCUAACAAGAGUAUAACUAAGCUCUGAGAGAAAUGCAUCAUCAAACCAACAAAAAUAAAGGAAGAAUAAAUUUAAGCCAACACAUAUAUGUCUAGCCUAUGAGAAACAUUACAUGGCAUUUGAAAAACUGAAACAUCAAGGUUUGCAACCAUCAAAUCAACAAAUUUUGUUUGAGGAUUCUCCAAUUAUGUCAUAAAUUAAAUGAUUAAUAUGAGAUUUCUAAAAUACGUUUGAGAUUCAGAAUGAGAGACAUGCUACUAUGGUACAGUAGUUGAUUCCUAAUUGGGAAUAAACAUAUACAGACGCCAAAGCCAAACCAUAAUAUAAACCUACUAAUGGGGGCUUCCUGCACAAUACUUGUCCUGCAUAACAUGCCAAUUAAUGUAAACAUCAGUAGUGACUAAUCAGAAGAAUACAGACAGACUCAUGCACACACAUACAGAGGGAGAGAAGGUAAGAGGAAAAGAGAGAAACCUGUCCAGAGGGUAGCAGCUAGGACACGAAGGCCAUGGAUCCUCAUCUAGCUGGUUGAAGAAGU